rnacentral:lncRNA from 1 species
AGGGUACGAUAGGAGUUCAUCCGUUGGAGGAAUCCGGAGGACACUGUGGAAGGUCGACUACUGGAGGAGUUCGGAUGGAACUGUGGAAGCUCGGACGGUCAGGGGAGUUCAGAAAGACGUCGCACAAGGUCAGAAACUGGAAGAGUCCUGGGAGGGUUGGCCUCAUACGAACUUCGACUGGGGUUAUUUUAUACCCAACAAUCAACAUCAUGUCAAU